rnacentral:rRNA from 1 species
AUGAGUGGCGAACGGGUGAGUAACACGUGGGAAACCUACCUCUUAGCAGGGGAUAACAUUUGGAAACAAAUGCUAAUACCGUAUAAUAAUUAAAACCGCAUGGUUUUAGUUUAAAAGAUGGUCUUGCUAUCACUAAGAGAUGGUCCCGCGGUGUAUUAGUUAGUUGGUGAGGUAAUGGCUCACCAAGACAAUGAUACAUAGCCGAGUUGAGAGACUGACCGGCCACAAUGGGACUGAGACACGGCCCAUACUCCUACGGGAGGCAGCAGUAGGGAAUCUUCCACAAUGGACGAAAGUCUGAUGGAGCAACGCCGCGUGUGUGAUGAAGGGUUUCGGCUCGUAAAACACUGUUGUAAGAGAAGAAUGACAUUGAGAGUAACUGUUCAAUGUGUGACGGUAUCUUACCAGAAAGGAACGGCUAAAUACGUGCCAGCAGCCGCGGUAAUACGUAUGUUCCAAGCGUUAUCCGGAUUUAUUGGGCGUAAAGCGAGCGCAGACGGUUAUUUAAGUCUGAAGUGAAAGCCCUCGGCUCAACCGAGGAAUUGCUUUGGAAACUGGAUAACUUGAGUGCAGUAGAGGAAAGUGGAACUCCAUGUGUAGCGGUGAAAUGCGUAGAUAUAUGGAAGAACACCAGUGGCGAAGGCGGCUUUCUGGACUGUAACUGACGUUGAGGCUCGAAAGUGUGGGUAGCAAACAGGAUUAGAUACCCUGGUAGUCCACACUGUAAACGAUGAGUGCUAGUUGUUCGAGGGUUUCCGCCCUUGAGUGACGAAGCUAACGCAUUAAGCACUCCGCCUGGGGAGUACGACCGCAAGGUUGAAACUCAAAGGAAUUGACGGGGACCCGCACAAGCGGUGGAGCAUGUGGUUUAAUUCGAAGCAACGCGAAGAACCUUACCAGGUCUUGACAUCCUUUGACCACUCCAGAGAUGGAGCUUUCCCUUCGGGGACAAAGUGACAGGUGGUGCAUGGUUGUCGUCAGCUCGUGUCGUGAGAUGUUGGGUUAAAGUCCCGCAACGAGCGCAACCCUUAUUGUUAGUUGCCAGCAUUUAGUUGGGCACUCUAGCAAGACUGCCGGUGACAAACCGGAGGAAGGCGGGGAUGACGUCAAAUCAUCAUGCCCCUUAUGACCUGGGCUACACACGUGCUACAAUGGCAAGUACAACGAGUCGCCAACCCGCGAGGGUGCGCAAAUCUCUUAAAGCUUGUCUCAGUUCGGACUGUAGGCUGCAACUCGCCUACACGAAGUCGGAAUCGCUAGUAAUCGCGGAUCAGCACGCCGCGGUGAAUACGUUCCCGGGUCUUGUACACACCGCCCGUCACACCAUGAGAGUUUGUAACACCCAAAGUCGGUGAGGUAACCUU